rnacentral:tRNA from 2 species
AGCGUCCAUUGUCUAAUG